rnacentral:rRNA from 1 species
AGCGAACGCUGGCGGCAGGCCUAACACAUGCAAGUCGAACGAACUCUUCGGAGUUAGUGGCGGACGGGUGAGUAACACGUGGGAACGUGCCUUUAGGUUCGGAAUAACUCAGGGAAACUUGUGCUAAUACCGAAUGUGCCCCCCGAUUCAUUUUGGGGUGGGAAAGAUUUAUCGCCUUUAGAGCGGCCCGCGUCUGAUUAGCUAGUUGGUGAGGUAAAGGCUCACCAAGGCGACGAUCAGUAGCUGGUCUGAGAGGAUGAUCAGCCACAUUGGGACUGAGACACGGCCCAAACUCCUACGGGAGGCAGCAGUGGGGAAUCUUGCGCAAUGGGCGAAAGCCUGACGCAGCCAUGCCGCGUGAAUGAUGAAGGUCUUAGGAUUGUAAAAUUCUUUCACCGGGGACGAUAAUGACGGUACCCGGAGAAGAAGCCCCGGCUAACUUCGUGCCAGCAGCCGCGGUAAUACGAAGGGGGCUAGCGUUGCUCGGAAUUACUGGGCGUAAAGGGAGCGUAGGCGGACAUUUAAGUCAGGGGUGAAAUCCCGGGGCUCAACCCCGGAAUUGCCUUUGAUACUGGGUGUCUUGAGUAUGAGAGAGGUGUGUGGAACUCCGAGUGUAGAGGUGAAAUUCGUAGAUAUUCGGAAGAACACCAGUGGCGAAGGCGACACACUGGCUCAUUACUGACGCUGAGGCUCGAAAGCGUGGGGAGCAAACAGG